rnacentral:lncRNA from 1 species
GACAAGCCAGGGCAAACGGUGAACAGAUCACCAGGUGGAAUCCAAGCAGCAAUGCAGUAGGCAACGGGAGUAGGUGUCACAGCCACUUGGGAGAAGAUUUUAUUUCUGGAGGCAGAUUUCUUGUAGAAAAUGCUAGUCUCUGAACAGCGGGAGUGGGCUUCAAAGGCCUCUGGAUUUUGGUCAGGUAGCCUGUUAGACUCCUGCCAUUUGUUGAGAUCAAAGGCUUCGACACCUCUCACGUCACACCUCAGUGCUAAUUGAAGUUGUAUCUGGUCUGUCUCAGUUCCAGGUUGGAUGGUGUCCUCAGGUCUCUGCUGUUUGUUUGCCAGAGCACCCUCUAUAUAGCUUGGAAAAAGGAAUCCUUGUUAACAGUAACCCCUCAAGGACCUGAGCCCUGGGACCAUGCCUCAGGACUACCUGGCCUGAUGACCUUGCUGUCCCCAGUCCACCUGGUCGUACUGCUGCUCCAGUUUCAACUGUUCUGCCUGCGGCUAUGGAACCCUGACCUUGUCCCGGACCUGCUGUUUUCGACUCUCUCUCUCUCUACCGCACCUGCUGUCUGGAACUCUGAAUGCUCGGGUGUCAUGGAACGAGUGAUCAUUGUUCCAGAGGAGGGAUUGUUGGAGAUUGACUUUAGAAGUGACUAAUGUGUUAUGGGUAAGAUGGAAUGACUUAUGUGCGAAUGUAUUUGUGGCCGGAGGCAAGGUAUUGGAGACAGGAUGUUUGCAUAAGGGUGUUAAUUGCAGUCUGGCAAGACCGUCAUCAGUGUAUUAUGUGGAGUCCCAAAAACCAAGGCAUUAACAUUAUAGGGAAUUGGGAGAGCGGAAUGGAAUGUGACUGAGGAGAUCUGUGUGGCUCAUAAAUUAAGGAAGGAGGUAGUAUAUCACUCCGCUGUGUAUAAUGAUAUCAGGAAAUAGCUCGUAGGAGAGGAAGGACAGCUAACUGUGCACAAUAUAGAGACUACGAAGUUAAAUUGAAAGUCACACACACCCAGAUCAUGGUGGGAGUAGCAGAGAUAGUGUGAUCAUUUCAGGCACCAUUGUCAAAUUUCAAUGAUGGGUUCGUCAAAGGUACAAUGCUUAUGGAUGCUAUAGUAACAGCAUGGAACUGGACUAUAGUGCAAAUUAGGAGAUUUUGAAGUUUUCAUCAUGGGCAGUAUUAGUAGUAGCAGGGGUUACCUUAGUGGCAUUGUUGGGAUAUCAUCUUCUGAGGGCAUUGAUGUGAAAUGUAUGUACAGUGCUGAGUUACCUCAAGAUGAGGUAAAGUUGAUUAGGGCCACCGCACGUGUAUAUCGAUCGGGUGGCCAUGGAGGAGAUUUACAUUUACAUUUAAGUCAUUUAGCAGACGCUCUUAUCCAGAGCGACUUACAAAUUGGUGCAUUCACCUUAUGAUAUCCAGUGGAACAACCACUUUACAAUAGUGC